GACGAACGCUGGCGGCGUGCUUAACACAUGCAAGUCGAACGGAAAGGCCCUGCUUGCAGGGUACUCGAGUGGCGAACGGGUGAGUAACACGUGGGUGAUCUGCCCUACACUUCGGGAUAAGCCUGGGAAACUGGGUCUAAUACCGGAUAGGAGCCAUUUUUAGUGUGAUGGUUGGAAAGUUUUUUCGGUGUAGGAUGAGCUCGCGGCCUAUCAGCUUGUUGGUGGGGUAAUGGCCUACCAAGGCGGCGACGGGUAGCCGGCCUGAGAGGGUGGACGGCCACAUUGGGACUGAGAUACGGCCCAGACUCCUACGGGAGGCAGCAGUGGGGAAUAUUGCACAAUGGGCGCAAGCCUGAUGCAGCGACGCCGCGUGGGGGAUGACGGCCUUCGGGUUGUAAACUCCUUUCGCUAGGGACGAAGCUUUUUGUGACGGUACCUAGAUAAGAAGCACCGGCUAACUACG
rnacentral:rRNA from 1 species